rnacentral:misc_RNA from 1 species
GUGAACGAGAAGUAUUUACGUCAGGAAGCUCUUGGUGCUAUAUGUUCCUUUGCGGAGAACACAAACUCAAGAAUUGUGUUUAAUGAAGUUUUAGUUGCUGCAAGAAAGGACAUAGCCAGAAAAGAUAUAUCUAGACUACGGGGUGGGUGGCCAAUUCAGGAUGCCUUCCAUGUGUUCUCACAGCAUUCAGUACUUUCAUACUUGUUUCUGGAUCAUGUUAUGUCUGUCAUCAAUCAGAUUCCUACUCUUGGUGGGGAUUGGGGUCAUGAUGAAAGUUCUAGCCAUGCAGUUG